AUCAUUGCAGUGAAGGUAUUCUAAGUGAUGGGAAGCAGGCUUAGGGAGGAGACGCAGUCAGAGUCCUUGAGCCUGGCCCUGGGUGUGAUUGGAGGAAAGGGCUCAAGCCUUAUGAGGGUCUCAGGGCCUGGAUAGGGUGGUUUACUUGGGACUAGGAAGAGCUUCUCAGAGUGGGCUUGUGGGAAUCGGGAAGUCUUUGAACUGCGAUCCCUCCGCCUUAGCAGAAUCCCGCGCUGUGCUUGCAGAUCCCAGGAUUGAGAGAGCAUGGCCCCUGGGAGCAGCAGACCCCCAGCCCAGGAGAUGGUGACAUUCAAGGAUGUGGCUGUGGACUUCACCCAGGAGGAGUGGGGCCUCUUGGACCCUCCUCAGAAGGAGCUGUACAAGGAAGUCAUACUGGAGAAUGCCCAGAACCUGCUCUCCCUG